rnacentral:rRNA from 1 species
GAUGGCUGUCGUCAGCUCGUGCCGUGAGGUGUUAGGUUAAGUCCUGUAACGAGCGCAACCCUGCCGUUAGUUACAUGUGUCUAACGGGACUGCCCGGCUCAACUGGGAGGAAGGUGGGGACGACGUCAAGUCAGCAUGGCCUUUAUAUCCUGGGCUACACACACGCUACAAUGGUCGGUACAAUGGGUCGCCAAGCCGCGAGGCGGAGCCAAUCCUCCAAAACCGGCCUCAGUUCAGAUUGUAGGCUGCAACUCGCCUGCAUGAAGUUGGAGUUGCUAGUAACCGCGCGUCAGCUAUAGUGCGGUGAAUACGUUCCCGGGGCUU